CCCUUAGCCUAUGGCAACCACCAUUCUACUCUCUGUUUCUAGGAAUUCCGGUGUUUCUAGAUUCCAUGUAUGACUGAGAUCAUGCAGUAUUUGUCUUUCCCUGUCUGAUUUAUUUCACUUGGCAUAAUGCCCUCAAGUUUCAGCCAUGUUGUUGUAAAUGACAGGAUUUCCUUCCUUUUUAUGGCUCAAUAAUAUUCCACUGCUUAUAUGUAUAACAUAUUUUCUUUAUCCAUUCAUCUGUCACUGGACACGUAAGUUGCUUCUGUGUCUGGACUAUUGUGAAUAACGCUACAGUGAACAUGGCGUGCAGAGAUCUCUUGGAGAUAGUGAUUUCAUAUAGCAGGGUGGUCCACCCCAACUCUGUGGGGACAGAAGCUCCUAUGCUCCAGAGCCUUCCAGACUUUGCCCCACGUACCUCUUCAUCUGGCUGUUCAUUUAUAUCCUUUAUUAUAUCCUUUAAAACAAACCAGGAAAUGUAAAUGUUUUCCUGAGUUCUGUGGGUCAUUCUAUCACGUCAUUGAACCCAAGGAGGGGGUUCUGAGAAUCCCAACUUGUAGCUUGUAGGUCAGAAUUACAGGAGACAACCUGGACUUGCGACUGGUGUCUGAAGAGGGGCAGUCUUGUGGGACUAAGCCCAAAACCUGUGGGAUCUGAUGCUAACUCCAGGCAGAGAGGGUCAGAACUGAAUUGACUUGUAGGACACCCAACUGGUGUCUGAGAAUUGCUUGGUGUGUGAAAACUCUCUCAUAUUUGGUGGCUAAAAGUGAAAUAUGGAGAGUAUGGAAGUAUUUUGUGAGCAAAGGAAAAACAGAGUUUUUCCAAGACAAUGAUAUUUAUAGAAAAUACCAAAAUGAAGUAACCAUAAAUUUAGAAACUCGACAUUUCAAGAAUCAAAUGCUACAGCAAAUCAAAGUUGAAAGAUAUGAAAAGACAACAUAAAUCUAGGCUUACGUUGAAAGCAAAAAAAAAAACACCCCGAAACAGAAGAUGUGCACACACAUAUUUCAAGUUGAAUCCUGCCUCCAGCAGCUGGUCUCACGUGGAGCAGAGCUUUAGCAGGAGUAGGAGGGGAAAGCAGGAAAGUUGCACGUGUUCUUUCUGCAGGAGGAGGUGAGAAGGCUAGGAGACAUCAGAAUUGUUCGACCUUAACAGGAACUGUCGGAAUCCUUUAUUCACACUGAGUUUCACCUGACUGGGCAAAAGAGAGUCCACAGGAACUGUGAGGGGAAACAUUAUGGACAUAUCUGUGGCUUACUCUCCUUUAGUUUAGAUUGGAGUCAUCCUAUUCAGUCUUUUCUUGGAUGUAAACUUCUGAGGCGGAGAAGCAAAAGGCAGGGCAGGUAAACUGAUAGGGUUUGAUCCAGAGUUUUUCAGCAAUUAACUUUGAAAAGAAAUAAUCUCCAAGGGGGAAACAUUGGCUAGCAUUAAUCCUAAAGCUGAUUGAGCUAAAUGAGGUGGAACAUACACAUACAACAAUGAAUCUGUGUGUGUGUGGUUGCAUAAAACAUGGAUUGUUAGGUUAAUAUAUUUCUUGGCAUGAUUCAUUCUUUAGAUAAACUUUUUUUUUUCCCCAGGGGAAGAUUCACCUUAUGCUAACAUCUGUUGCCAAUCUCCCUCCUUUUCCUUCCUUUUUCCCCCCUAGAGCCCCAGUACAUAGUUGUGUACAGUUGAAAGUUCUAGUUCUUGUACAUGAGCCACCGCCACAGCAUGGCUACUGACACACGAGUGGUGUGGUUCCACGCCCAGGGACGAAACCCAGGCCACCAAAGCAGAACAUGCUG
rnacentral:lncRNA from 1 species